rnacentral:lncRNA from 1 species
CACUCCUGAGAGCCUGAUAUCCUUAUACCAGGUCCUAUCGAGUAACCACUUAAUUUCUUAUAGAACAUUCAGCAUUCAACCAUUCAAAACCCUCAAUCCACCCUCUUAUCCAGCAGGAAAAGCUUAACCCUUGCAUUCCUGGAAGGGAGAAAUCAUCUGACUUGAGCAGUGUCGACUUUCUUCCUCACCACAAGGAACAUCUCAGAGUGUCUCUAAAUUUAUAUCUCCAAGCUGAGAAUACAAAAUGAACCAAAGAGAAAAUGUCAGAACACUGAGAGCAAUCAGUGUAAAUUAACUCCGUGCAAACUGUGUGCAUUGGUGCUGAGAGAACAGACAAAGCAGUGGAUUCCCCUUUGGAAGGCUCUUUUCUCUAAAGCUUUCAAAUUCCACAAUGAAGUUUCAGAGGAAACACAGAAUAUCCUAAUUCGGGGUGUACCAUACCAGGUGUAUAAAGAUGUAAAUAAAUGCAAUACUUGACAUGAAAGAAUGAGUCUGGUAUUGCUAUUGAUGCUGGAGGGCACCGUGACCUCUGCACUCAAAAUCUGGAGGUGGGGACGGGUGGAAAUGAGCAGUGCCUAGAAGUGCAGUUCUAGAAAUAAAUCAGUAACUAACAGGGAGGAUUGCUUCUUG